rnacentral:rRNA from 1 species
AUACGUAGGGGGCGAGCGUUGUCCGGAAUGAUUGGGCGUAAAGGGCGCGUAGGCGGCUUUACAAGUCUGGAGUGAAAGUCCUAUUUUCAAGGUAGGAAUUGCUUUGGAAACUGUAGAGCUUGAGUGCAGGAGAGGUUAUCGGAAUUCCCGGUGUAGCGGUGAAAUGCGUAGAGAUCGGGAGGAACACCAGUGGCGAAGGCGGGUAACUGGACUGCAACUGACGCUGAGGCGCGAAAGUGUGGGGAGCAACCAGGAUUAGAUACCCUGGUAGUCCACGCUGUAAACGAUGAAUACUAGGUGUGGGGGGACUGACCCCCUCCGUGCCGCAGUUAACACAAUAAGUAUUCCACCUGGGGAGUACGAUCGCAAGAUUGAAACUCAAAUGAAUUGACGGGG